UAUGCCUUUGUCGAUUUUUAGGCAUC
rnacentral:piRNA from 2 species